rnacentral:tRNA from 1 species
UCCGCAGCAAAUACAAUUAGUUAAUGGAAACGCGAUUUUGGAAAAUAGUGUACAAUUGGCCGCUGUUAAUCACUGGGUCGCAGGUUCGAGCCCUGCCGUCGGAGCCA